rnacentral:rRNA from 1 species
AUUGAACGCUGGCGGCAGGCUUAACACAUGCAAGUCGAGCGGAGAUGAGGUGCUUGCACCUUAUCUUAGCGGCGGACGGGUGAGUAAUGCUUAGGAAUCUGCCUAUUAGUGGGGGACAACAUUCCGAAAGGAAUGCUAAUACCGCAUACAUCCUACGGGAGAAAGCAGGGGAUCUUCGGACCUUGCGCUAAUAGAUGAGCCUAAGUCGGAUUAGCUAGUUGGUGGGGUAAAGGCCUACCAAGGCGACGAUCUGUAGCGGGUCUGAGAGGAUGAUCCGCCACACUGGGACUGAGACACGGCCCAGACUCCUACGGGAGGCAGCAGUGGGGAAUAUUGGACAAUGGGGGGAACCCUGAUCCAGCCAUGCCGCGUGUGUGAAGAAGGCCUUAUGGUUGUAAAGCACUUUAAGCGAGGAGGAGGCUACUGACACUAAUACUCUUGGAUAGUGGACGUUACUCGCAGAAUAAGCACCGGCUAACUCUGUGCCAGCAGCCGCCGUAAGAC